UGGGGAAUAUUGCACAAUGGGGGAAACCCUGAUGCAGCGACGCCGCGUGAACGAAGAAGGUAUUCGUAUCGUAAAGUUCUGUCCUAUGGGAAGAUAAUGACAGUACCAUAGAAGAAAGCUCCGGCUAAAUACGUGCCAGCAGCCGCGGUAAUACGUAUGGAGCGAGCGUUGUCCGGAAUUAUUGGGCGUAAAGGGUACGCAGGCGGUUUAAUAAGUCGAAUGUUAAAGAUCGGGGCUCAACCCCGCAAAGCAUUGGAAACUGAUAAACUUGAGUAGUGGAGAGGAAAGUGGAAUUCCUAGUGUAGUGGUGAAAUACGUAGAUAUUAGGAGGAAUACCAGUAGCAAAGGCGACUUUCUGGACACAAACUGACGCUGAGGUACGAAAGCGUGGGGAGCAAACAGG
rnacentral:rRNA from 1 species